UACGAAGGGGGCUAGCGUUGUUCGGAUUUACUGGGCGUAAAGCGCACGUAGGCGGAUCUUUAAGUCAGAGGUGAAAUCCCAAGGCUCAACCUUGGAACUGCCUUUGAUACUGGGGAUCUUGAGUCCGGGAGAGGUGAGUGGAACUGCGAGUGUAGAGGUGAAAUUCGUAGAUAUUCGCAAGAACACCAGCGGCGAAGGCGGCUCACUGGCCCGGUACUGACGCUGAGGUGCGAAAGCGUGGGGAGCGAACAGG
rnacentral:rRNA from 1 species